AGUUCUCGUUGAUAAUCGGUGCUUGCACCGAGAUUCAACAUGGAACGAGUGGCGGACGGGUGAGUAACACGUGGGUAACCUGCCCUUAAGUGGGGGAUAACAUUUGGAAACAGAUGCUAAUACCGCAUAGAUCCAAGAACCGCAUGGUUCUUGGCUGAAAGAUGGCGUAAGCUAUCGCUUUUGGAUGGACCCGCGGCGUAUUAGCUAGUUGGUGAGGUAAUGGCUCACCAAGGCGAUGAUACGUAGCCGAACUGAGAGGUUGAUCGGCCACAUUGGGACUGAGGCACGGCCCAAACUCCUACGGGAGGCAGCAGUAGGGAAUCUUCCACAAUGGACGCAAGUCUGAUGGAGCAACGCCGCGUGAGUGAAGAAGGCUUUCGGGUCGUAAAACUCUGUUGUUGGAGAAGAAUGGUCGGCAGAGUAACUGUUGUCGGCGUGACGGUAUCCAACCAGAAAGCCACGGCUAACUACGUGCCAGCAGCCGCGGUAAUACGUAGGUGGCAAGCGUUAUCCGGAUUUAUUGGGCGUAAAGCGAGCGCAGGCGGUUUUUUAAGUCUGAUGUGAAAGCCCUCGGCUUAACCGAGGAAGCGCAUCGGAAACUGGGAAACUUGAGUGCAGAAGAGGACAGUGGAACUCCAUGUGUAGCGGUGAAAUGCGUAGAUAUAUGGAAGAACACCAGUGGCGAAGGCGGCUGUCUGGUCUGUAACUGACGCUGAGGCUCGAAAGCAUGGGUAGCGAACAGGAUUAGAUACCCUGGUAGUCCAUGCCGUAAACGAUGAGUGCUA
rnacentral:rRNA from 1 species